GUGGCGAACGGGUGAGUAACGCGUAAGAACCUGCCCUUGGGAGGGGAACAACAACUGGAAACGGUUGCUAAUACCCCGUAGGCUGAGGAGCAAAAGGAGAAAUCCGCCCAAGGAGGGGCUCGCGUCUGAUUAGCUAGUUGGUGAGGCAAUAGCUUACCAAGGCGAUGAUCAGUAGCUGGUCCGAGAGGAUGAUCAGCCACACUGGGACUGAGACACGGCCCAGACUCCUACGGGAGGCAGCAGUUGGGAAUUUUCCGCAAUGGGCGAAAGCCUGACGGAGCAAUGCCGCGUGGAGGUGGAAGGCCUACGGGUCGUCAACUUCUUUUCUCGGAGAAGAAACAAUGACGGU
rnacentral:rRNA from 1 species